rnacentral:rRNA from 1 species
AGAGUUUGAUCCUGGCUCAGAACGAACGCUGGCGGCGUGCCUAACACAUGCAAGUCGAACGAGAAAGGGGCUUCGGCUCCGAGUAAAGUGGCGCACGGGUGAGUAACACGUGGGUAACCUGCCUCUAAGAUUGGGAUAACUCGUCGAAAGAUGAGCUAAUACCGAAUAAGACCACAGUUCCUGCGGGAAGAGGGGUCAAAGGUAGCCUCUGCUUGCAAGCUAUCACUUAGAGAUGGGCCUGCGCACCAUUAGCUAGUUGGUAGGGUAACGGCCUACCAAGGCAAAGAUGGUUAGCUGGUCUGAGAGGAUGAUCAGCCACACUGGAACUGAGACACGGUCCAGACUCCUACGGGAGGCAGCAGUGGGGAAUAUUGCGCAAUGGGCGAAAGCCUGACGCAGCAACGCCGCGUGAGUGAUGAAGGCCUUCGGGUCGUAAAGCUCUGUCGGGAGGAACGAAUGCUCCUAAGGUUAACAGCCUCGGGAGGUGACGGUACCUUCAAAGGAAGCACCGGCUAACUCUGUGCCAGCAGCCGCGGUAAU